rnacentral:rRNA from 1 species
GGUUAAGCUACUAAGGGCAGACGGUGGAUGCCUUGGUAUCGGUAGGCGAUGAAGGACGCGGAAAGCUGCGAUAAGCUUCGGGGAGCCGCUAACAGGCUUUGAUCCGGAGAUUUCCGAAUGGGGGAACCCAGCCGGGGUAAUACCCGGUUAUCCUGCACUCAAUACAUAGGUGCAUGAGGCGAACGCAGGGAAUUGAAACAUCUAAGUACCUGCAGGAAAAGAAAAUAAUAAUGAUUCCGUCAGUAGCGGCGAGCGAACGCGGAGAAGCCCAAACCGUAUACUUUUCGGAGUAUACGGGGUUGUGGGGCCCCGAUGUGGGAUUGCGAAUGGAUAGUAGAACGGUAUGGAAAGGCCGGCCAUAGACGGUGAUAGCCCGGUACACGAAAUCCUGAAGCACCCUAGGGGAACCCCGAGUACCACGGGACACGUGAAACCCUGUGGGAAUCCGGGAGGACCAUCUCCCAAGGCUAAAUACUAACCGAUAACCGAUAGUGAACCAGUACCGUGAGGGAAAGGUGAAAAGUACGGGGGGACCCGAGUGAAAUAGUACCUGAAACCGUCUGCUUACAAGCAGUGGGAGCACUAUGUUGCUUGCAACAGUGUGACCGCGUGCCUUUUGCAUAAUGAGUCAACGACUUACCCUAUGCAGCAAGGUUAAGCCGCGAGGUGUAGCCGUAGCGAAAGCGAGUCUUAAUAGGGCGAUCAGUUGCAUGGGGUAGACCCGAAGCCGGGUGAUCUAUCCAUGUCCAGGGUGAAGCGAAGGUAAUACUUCGUGGAGGCCCGAACCAGUGUAGGUUGAAAACUGCUUGGAUGAGGUGUGGAUAGGAGUGAAAGGCUAAUCAAACUCGGUGAUAGCUGGUUUUCUCCGAAAUAUAUUUAGGUAUAGCCUCGUAUGUUUACUGACGGAGGUAGAGCACUGAUUGGACUAGGGGUCUCACCAGAUUACCAAACCCAUUCAAACUCCGAAUGCCGUCAAGUUAGAGUACGGGAGUCAGACUACGGGAGAUAAGUUCCGUGGUCGAGAGGGAAAGAACCCAGACCGCCAGCUAAGGUCCCUAAAUUCAUGCUAAGUGGAAAAGGAGGUGGAACUGCCCAGACAACCAGGAGGUUGGCUUAGAAGCAGCAAUCCUUUAAAGAAAGCGUAACAGCUCACUGGUCGAGUGGGGCUGCGCCGAAAAUUCAACGGGGCUUAAGCAUGGUACCGAAGCUGCGGAUUUCAGAGGACAGAGUACAGAUGACAGAAGACAGAAAGCGUGUUUCCUCAUUUGAGAACCUGGAAGUAUUCCAGCGAGCCUACAAGGUCUCGUUGGAGAUACACAAAAAGAGCCUGGAUUUUCCCAGGCAUGAGCAGUAUGGGCUUGCAGAGCAGACAAGAAGAGCAAGCAAGUCCAUCUGCGCAAAUCUGGCCGAAGGAUAUGGCAAAAGUCAUUCAGCCGCUGAAUUUAAGCGGUUCGUUCAGAUGGCAUUAGGUUCAAGUGAUGAAAUGCGGGUCUGGCUUCGAUAUUGUCUGGAUCUGGAAUAUAUUGAUAGAGAGACAUGGCACCGAUGGCGAGAAGAGUAUCAGGAGAUAAGUAAGAUGUUACAGGGACUGCACAGAAGUUGGAAAUAGUUUUUAUCUGACCUCUGUCCUCUGCCAUCUGAUUCCUGAAACUGACCUCUGUCGUCUGUCCUCUGUCCUCUGAGAUGGUAGGAGAACAUUGUGGCCGCCUGAGAAGGUACACCGCGAGGAGUGCUGGAGGUUCCACAAGAGCUUAUGUUGACACGAGUAGCGAAAAACAAGGUGAGAAACCUUGUCGCCGAAAGCCUAAGGUUUCCUGUAGUAAAGUUAAUCUGCUCAGGGUUAGUCGGCCCCUAAGUCGAGGCUGAAAAGCGUAGACGAUGGGAAACAGGUUAAUAUUCCUGUACCACCCUGCUGGUGUUACGGAUACGGGGGGACGGAGAAGGGUAGGUCAUCCGGGUGUUGGAUGUCCCGGUUCAAGCGUGUAGGCGGAGGACUUUGGCAAAUCCGGGUCCUCAUUCAACGCUGAGGCGUGAUGACGAUUCCUUUUUGGAUACAAAGUGAUUGAUCCCAUGCUUCCAGGAAAAGCCUCGUAUUCAUUCAGCAAGGUGACCGUACCGUAAACCGACACAGGUAGGCAGGAAGAGUAUUCCAAGGCGCUUGAGAGAACUCUGGUUAAGGAACUCGGCAAAAUAGCACCGUAACUUCGGGAGAAGGUGUGCCCCCAUUAGGUAGAACGAUUCGCACGUCGAGCCGAAGGGGGUUGCAGUGAAUUGGGGGGAGCGACUGUUUACUAAAAACACAGGACUCUGCUAAGUCGAAAGACGAUGUAUAGGGUCUGACGCCUGCCCGGUGCCGGAAGGUUAAGGGGACUUGUCAGCGCAAGCGAAGCAAUGAACCGAAGCCCCGGUAAACGGCGGCCGUAACUAUAACGGUCCUAAGGUAGCGAAAUUCCUUGUCGGGUAAGUUCCGACCUGCACGAAUGGCGUAACGAUUUCCCCACUGUCUCAACCAGGGACUCAGCGAAACUGUAGCACCGGUGAAGAUGCCGGUUACCCGCAACAAGACAGAAAGACCCCGUGCACCUUUACUACAGCUUGGCAUUGUAGCUUGGGCUAUCAUGUGUAGGAUAGGUGGGAGACUUUGAAGCGGCCACGCCAGUGGUCGUGGAGUCAAUCUUGAAAUACCACCCUUGCUAUCUUAGGCUACUAACCCAGACCCGUUAUCCGGGUCGGGAACAGUGUCUGGCGGGUAGUUUGGCUGGGGCGGUCGCCUCCUAAAGAGUAACGGAGGCGCGCGAAGGUUCCCUCAGGUUGAUUGGAAACCAACCGCAGAGUGUAAAGGCAUAAGGGAGCUUGACUGCGAGAGAGACAUCUCGAGCAGGUACGAAAGUAGGUCUUAGUGAUCCGGCGGUCCCGAAUGGAAGGGCCGUCGCUCAACGGAUAAAAGGUACGCCGGGGAUAACAGGCUUAUCUCCCCCAAGAGUCCAUAUCGACGGGGAGGUUUGGCACCUCGAUGUCGGCUCAUCGCAUCCUGGGGCUGGAGCAGGUCCCAAGGGUUUGGCUGUUCGCCAAUUAAAGCGGUACGUGAGCUGGGUUUAAAACGUCGUGAGACAGUUUGGUCCUUAUCUGUUGCGGGCGUAGGAUAUUUGAGGAGAGCUGUUCCUAGUACGAGAGGACCGGAAUGGACGAACCGAUGGUGUUCCUGUUGUGGCGCCAGCCGCAUCGCAGGGUAGCUAAGUUCGGAAGGGAUAACCGCUGAAAGCAUCUAAGCGGGAAGCCCACUCCAAGAUUAGAUAUCCCGUGGGGUAAUACCCACCUAAAGGCUCGUUGAAGACUACAACGUCGAUAGGCCAGGUGUGGAAGUGUAGCGAUACAUGGAGCUUACUGGUACUAAUCAGCCGUGCGGCUUAACCAU